rnacentral:rRNA from 1 species
GACGAACGCUGGCGGCGUGCUUAACACAUGCAAGUCGAACGGAAAGGCCCUGCUUGCAGGGUGCUCGAGUGGCGAACGGGUGAGUAACACGUGGGUGAUCUGCCCCUUACUUUGGGAUAAGCCUGGGAAACUGGGUCUAAUACUGGAUAGGACCAUGCUGUAGGUGGUGUGGUGGAAAGAUUAGUUUCGGUAAGGGAUGAGCUCGCGGCCUAUCAGCUUGUUGGUGGGGUAAUGGCCUACCAAGGCGUCGACGGGUAGCCGGCCUGAGAGGGUGGACGGCCACAUUGGGACUGAGAUACGGCCCAGACGCCUACGGGAGGCAGCAGUGGGGAAGAUUGCACAAUGGGCGCAAGCCUGAUGCAGCGACGCCGCGUGGGGGAUGACGGCCUUCGGGUUGUAAACUCCUUUCAGCCAUGACGAAGCCCUUGUGGUGACGGUAGUGGUAGAAGAAGCACCGGCUAACUACGUG